rnacentral:rRNA from 1 species
UACGUAGGGGGCUAGCGUUGUCCGGAUGUAUUGGGCGUAAAGAGCUUGUAGGCGGUCUGUCGCGUCUGCUGUGAAAAUCCGGGGCUCAACCCCGGACUUGCAGUGGGUACGGGCAGACUAGAGUGUGGUAGGGGAGACUGGAAUUCCUGGUGUAGCGGUGAAAUGCGCAGAUAUCAGGAGGAACACCGAUGGCGAAGGCAGGUCUCUGGGCCACUACUGACGCUGAGAAGCGAAAGCAUGGGGAGCGAACAGG